GAAAUGCGAUAAGUAAUGUGAAUUGCAGAAUUCAGUGAAUCAUCGAAUCUUUGAACGCACCUUGCGCUCCUUGGUAUUCCUUGGAGCAUGCCUGUUUGAGUAUCAUGAAAUCUUCAAAGUAAAUCUUUUGUUAACUCAAUUGGUUUCUACUUUGGUAUUGGAGGUCUUUGCAGCUUCACACCUGCUCCUCUUUGUUCAUUAGCUGGAUCUCAGUGUUAUGCUUGGUUCCACUCGGCGUGAUAAGUUAUCUAUCGCUGAGGACACUGUAAAAGGUGGCCAAGGUAGAUGCAGAUGAACCGCUUCUAAUAGUCCAUUGACUUGGACAAUACUUUUAUGAUCUGAUCUCAAAUCAGGUAGGACUACCCGCUGAACUUAAGC
rnacentral:misc_RNA from 1 species